ensembl:lncRNA
CUCUCUCUCUCUCUCUCUCUCUCUCUCUCUCUCUCUCUCUCUUUCUUUCUUUCUUUCUUUCUUUCUUUCUUUCUUUCUUUCUUUGCAAGGAGGGUGUGUGCGCCCACGGGAAGCCCCCAAAACGCUUCGCUCCUGGAGAAGGGAAACGCACUUGGGUUCUGCGCUCUGUCCCCUUCUCCCCCCUUUCCACGUACUUAGUUCUCGCCUCGCUCCCCACCCCCCGCCCCACCCCAUCCGCCCCUUCCCUUUGCAGAGUGUGAUUGUUUUGUCUGGAAAAAAAAAUCCAAAGUAUAUAACAAGGGGAGAACAGUUAGUGCUGAUUUUCAUUUGCAUACAUUUUCAUAUAUUUUGGUGAAAAUAAUAGACUAGUGCGAGCUGGGCUUAGAGGACUCAGUGUAAAGGGAAGGCUUAGGCUCUGACGGUGCUGGAGAGUUAAGAAUGUGCCUUCCCUCCACCCCCACCCCAGGCACCUUAUUUAAAAAAAAACAAAAAACACCUUCUUUUAUUUAAAAAAAAAAAUCUAACCUUGGAAGUUUGCUCGGGACAGCAGAGGAAGAGGGAUAAAGUGCCUGGAUAUGUGCAUUCAUCGAGUGUCCUGAAGAUGCUCCUUCUGACUGGAAGAGCUGAAGAGACAAGACUUUUCACUAAGUGAUAUUUUUGAUGCAGUCUAAGGAUUUAUCUCAAAAUCCCAGUCACAUUACUUCCUGAGAACAAAAGGUCUGCUGAAGUUGCCUGAUGAAAAGUCCAGCCUUCCAGAAUCUUCCAUUCUACAAGUGCUACCUACAGUGACUCUGAGAGAUUGAUUAUUUAUUACGGAGAUGGGAAGAAAAGGAAACGACCAGCCCGUCACACGUCCCUGGCCCAGAUCUGCCAGUCUCUCUCUUCCCGGUCUCAGGAAACUGUGCUGACAGUCCUCGAGGUGCGGUGGGGAGGUUGGGGAGCUGCUGAGUAUCCACGAUCCAGCCCCUGCAGGGAUAGGGAAGCCUCUCCAUGGUGCCUCUGUCUCCCAGGUUCUCUUACAGAGUCCCUCUGGAGGGAGCACAGGCAGAAGGACCCCUGGAGCGAUCUUCCUGGGCUGCCCCAGAAUGCAUUCCUCAAAGUCAGAUGGAAACCAGAGGUCUGUUUUGUUUGUGUGUUUUGUUUUUCAAGUGUGGCUCAACUUCUGGAGCUGCACAACUGGCCUGUACUGCCCCAUCUUUGAGGCUCCCUCAGGAUCUGGGGUGCUGUGGUGCCACCUUCCCUUCUUCUUUCUAGUCGCCCCAUCUCUGUCCUGCUUUGCUCAGCCUUGGCGAGGCCUGGAUGGUCUAUGCUAGUGUGCACAUGGAUUGUGCACUUUCAACUCAAGAGUUCAAUCUUUGGUUCUGAUCCUGGUUUCUUCCCUCAGAAGUCACAUUGCCUCUCUGGGUUUCCAUUUUAUCAUCCAUAAAAUGAAAAGUAGUUAAACAAGAUCAACUCCAAGAUCCCUGAGAGAGACCCAACAGCCAGAGUCAUUUUUGUUUGAUACCAAAUCUCUCUGCCUUUGGUGUCUACACUGAUUCCAACUAAUGGAAACGAGAACCUGAAUCCACACUGCCCAACUCUCCUGUCCCCCUGAACACCCAGGGUCAUUUCUGAUGAAGACUCUGGUUCUCCAGGUCUGGGCUGGGGGCUGAGACAACAGGCCUGGGCGUGUGUGAGGCUUGGUGCCAGGGCUGGUGACUGGGAGCUGAGCUAGUGCCCUGGGAAAUCUGUUUUGUUCACAGAUGGACCUGGAUAAGCCUGGUUCAGAGCCCAGGUCAGUUGUGUGGGGAUAAAUAAAUAAAAGGGGACUCAGAGAGAGGAUGAGCAAUAAUCAUGCAUUCUGGGGUCAGAACUUCUCAUCCUCUCCCAUUUCCUCACAAGUGGCUGGGUGCUUUCAGCAGCAGAAGUGACCCUUGUGUACCCGGGUGGCAUGGAUCCUCCUGGGGGUGGGAGAUGAUUGGGACUGAGAAGGGGGCCCGUCCUCCUUGCCCCUGCUCCUGUCUUGUCACCAAGAUGACUGGCUCUCAAGCCUCUGCCCUUGGUGCCAUCCAGGGCUACUCAGUGCACCUGCAGGUGUAGACCCUGAAGGUCUGCAGAGGAACUCCUGGUCUGGGAGGCAAAAGCCAUGAGUGCAACUUGGGCAGUCCUCAGAGUGUAGCAGUGGCUGCAAGUCAAGUGAAAGCUCUGGGCUCUGCAGGAUGGCGUGCUUUGGGCAGUUCUGUGGCAGCUGCAGCCCGAGGGAGGAGUGUGACUUGAAGUCAGAUUGGCUGUCCCUGGAGGCUAAAGAUCUGCAUCUCUUCUAAGCUUGGCCCCUGUCAAGUGUGAUGCAGAGAAGUUCCCUCUUUCUCUCCCUCUCUCCUCCUUGCUUCUUUCUCUGUCCCUCUCUCACACUCUAAUAGAAUCUUUUGCUCUUUGCACAUAAACUGUUGAUCUAGGCUCCCAGCCCUUGCUGAGGAUGACUUGGGCCUUGGUAAAGCUACCUGUAUUCUCCACCAAGCUGCCCUGUGGAGCUGCAGCCAUGCCGAGUGGACCCUGCCCUCUCCUGAGUCUGCAGUGCUGGGCAGCAAUGCUCCCACCUCCUCUUCCACUCUCUUUGAAGGAUCCUGCUGAGUCUCCUCAGGGAAAUAGUGUUCAGGGCAGGCUGUCUUGCAUCUAGCCUUCCAAAGUCCCUGGGCCCGGGCUGCACUUAGGGAAAGGACAAUGUUUUGUCCUCUUGGACACACCCCAGGUGAUCUCAGGUACAGUCAGGGAUAGGUACCUCUGGGGUCAUUUCCAACAGACUCAUAUUACCCGUGCAGUGGGUCAAGGGGAGCCGUCACCUUACUCUAGGCCAAUGACUGAAUCCCUACCUUGGUUGUACCUUAAUGUGGAAUAGCCAGUUUUCUAGAUCCUUGAUGCCUGAGUCACAUCUGUCUCAAUCCCUAUUGUCUGAGUCAGUGUCCCCCAAGACUCAUGUGUUAGAGACUUGGUCCCCAGCUCGUGGCACUAUUGGGAAGUGGUGGAACCUUUAAGAGGUGGGGCCUAGAGUGAGAAAGUAAGGUCAUGGGGUGGUAGCCUAGUGUGAGGAAGUGAGGUUAUAGGGUGGAUUUGGUGGGAAGAGGUGAAGAUAUGGGGGCAGGUCUAGAAGGAGGAAGUGAUUGUCAGUGGGAGGAAGAGAGGUCAUGGGGGUCGUGUACCUGAAGGGGACAUUGGGAUCCCAGAUAUCUUCCUUUCUUCACCUCUCACUCCAGACAUGACACACCCACACUACAGGAUAAAAACUAACAGGGCCGGCCGACCAUAAACUGAAAUUCCCCCAAUAGUGAGGCAACAUAAAGUUUUUUUUUUUUUGUAGCAGUUGAUUGUCUCAGUACUUUGUCACAGUGGUGUGGAGCUAACUAACACACCCACCAGGUCAGGGUGUCUGGGCAGGAGCUGGGCAUGGAAUUCUUCCAAAAACCCCUAGUGAUUUUAUUAUGUAGCAAAGCUAGGGGGCAGUUAGCGAUGGAUGGUUUGGGUUUGGUGAGAUUGGGUCUCCCAGGGUUCUCACUUUAGAAGCUUGGUCCUCCAUGUGGCCAUGUUGGGAGGUGGGGGUGCUUUGAGAGGUAUGGCCUAGAGGGGGUCAUGGGGUCAUUGAAGGUGCAGCCCUUGGAAGGGACUAAGGUGGUUUUAGGGGACCCAGAUUAGAUUUCAGGAGGGCCUUGCUAUAAACACGCAAGGCUGCCCUCCCUGAUCUCUUGCCAUAGGGUCUCUCACAGUGAUGCUGUCUAUCAAACUGUGACAGACACAGCCAGAGCCUCCAAAACUGUGAGCUAAAUAAACCUCUUUUCUUUAUGCAUUUUCCAGCUUCAAGCAUUUUGUUAUUUCAACAGAAUAUAGACUAAUGCACAGACUAAGACACAGGUUCAGAGCCUGAUUCUAUUGGAGCCUAAGAGCCCUCACCUUUCUCUCUUGUGCUGCUAAGGCACAUCAUUUCUCAUCUUGGUUUCCAUAAUUGUCCCAAGAGCCUUUUCAGGGUGCACCUGUGAGCCCCCUUAGAAUAGGCAGGAGGAGCAUCUGCAUGGAACCCAGCCUUCAUCCUCUUGUGCUCCUCUGAACCAAUGAGUGUCAUUCUUGUACAUAAUAGGACCAAGGAGAGCUUCCAAAUGCCAGCUCCUCCACCCGAGGAAGCUGGGGCUAGGGCAGCACAAGAUGAGGAAGAAUGCUUUUUAGGAGUGAGAUGGUAUCUGACAUGAAGUUAUGGGUGCCUGGGAGGUCCAGAAUGCUUUCUCCUGAGCUCUUACUAGGUAGCUGUCCUAACACUCACAUGGAGAUGCCCCAACUCCAGCAGAUUGCUAGCACCCCUGGGACUGUGUGAGUGAGGGACCCUGAUGUGAAGGAUACAUUUCAUUAGCAUCAGAAGAAAUCUCACACCAUCUAACUCUCCAUCUCUCCUCCCCUACCCCCUGGUAACCACCUAUUUACCUUCUGUUUCCCUGAGUUUGGUUUUUCUAUGUACCUCAUAACAAUGGAACCAUACAAUAUCUGUCUUUCUGUGACUGGCUUAUUUCAUAUAGCAUAAUGACUUCCAGUUUCACCCAUGUUAUAACAGAUGUCAGAAUUUUCUUCCUUUUAAAGAUUGCAUGAUGGUCCAUUGUAGGCAUAUACCAGCAUUUCUUUAUUCAUUCAUCUUUUGAUUGAUAUCAAGGUGCUUCUGUCUCUUUUCAGUGCUGCAAUGAACACAAGAUUGGAAAUAUCACUUUGAGAUCCUGUCUCGAAUUCAUUUGCACAUCUUCCCAGAAGUGAGAUUGCUAGAUCCUAUGGUAGUUCUAGUUUUCGUUGUCUAGGGACCCUCCAUACUAUUUCCCAUAGCAGCUGUACCAUGUUACAACCCUUGUGGACAAAGCAUAGGGUUCUAAUUUCUCCAUAUCCUUGCCAACACUUAUUUCUGUUUUUCUCUUUACAUGGCUAUCUGAAGGGGUGUGAGGGAAAAAUCUCACUGGUUUUGAUUUGCAUUUCUCUGAUGACUAGUGAUGUUGGACAUCUUUUCAUAUGCUUGUUGGCCAUUUGAAUAUCAUCUUUGGAGAAGUACCAACUCAAGACCUUUGCUAUUUUGAUCAGAUUAUUUUAUGUUAUUGACUUGCAAUUCUUUAUAUAUUCUGGAUAUUUACACUUUACUAGAUAUAUGAUUUGCAAACAUUUUCUCCCAUUCCAUAUGCUACCAUUUUUCCUUGUUGAUAGAUUUCUUUGCUAUGCAGUCAUUUGGAAGUUUGACGCAGUCCCACAGAUGUAUUUUUUGCUUUUGUUCUCUGUGUCUUUGGUGUCAUAUCUAAGAAAUCAUUGUCCAACCCAAAGUCAUGAAACCUCCCCCUGUGUUUUCCUACAGGGUUUUGUAGUGUCUGGGUCUUAUACUGAGGUCUUUUAUCGAUGUUGAGGUAAUUGCAAUAUAUGGUUAAGAGCCUAACUUCAUUCUAUUACAUGUACACAUCGGUAACCCCAGCGCUACUUCUUGAAGAGAUUGUCUUUUCUCCACUGUGAAGCCUUAGCCCCCUUGCCAAGCAGGGUAACACUCAUUUCCUUUGCUAACAGGCACCUCUGACCUCUGAGGACAUAUUUGUCCUUUGAACUUGGCGGUUUGGCUGAUAACCCUUGGGCUUUGCCAUAAGACUGUUGGAUCAAUUUUUACUCAGUUUCAUACCUGAGACCAAAUUACUACUUACUUAUCUCCUUUGUCUUCAACCUAUGUCAGUGAUGGCGAACCUUUUAGAGCUUUCAAUGAUACAAAUGGCCCACUGUGGCAGGUGAGCCAUAGGUUUGCCACCACUGACCUAUUUUGUAUUUUUAAAAUCUUUACUUGUGGAACAGUUUACCUUCAUUUGUCUAACUUACAGUCUGAACCAACUUUUCUUUGAAAGAAAAAACCCAAAAUAUUCCAGCACUUUCAGUGCCUUAUAAUUUGCAUCUCCUACAUUUUUAAUUUUUGGACACAGCUAGCAGGUCCAAUUUGUACUUCUCUAUGAUUUUGCACCUCAAAAGUCACAUAGUACAUUGAUGGGAAACUCGUGCCAGCCUGACUAAGGCUCUGGAUGUUCUUGUCAUAUUUCUUCAGAUCUCUGUAUCCAUGAGUUCCUCAAGCAAUUACAGAUCACUUGGGAAAAAAUGUGUCUGUACUGAACAUGCACAGACUUUUUCUCAUAGCAUUUGCACUGUAUUAGGUAUGAUAAUUUAUCUAGAGAGGUUUUAAAGUGCAUGGGCUAGUGAGAGUAGGGCGUGAGCACAUACUACCCCAUUGUGUGCUGGCACUUGGGUAUCUGGAUUUAGGUAUCCACGGGCGGUCAACGAACAAGGGGCAACUGUAUUUGUGAUGCAGAGGGAGAGACUGCUAGCUGUUCCCCACAGUCUCCUUCCUCUCUGCACAUGGAGAACUGUUGUCAUGCAAGGUGUACUCAGCCUCCCCUGCUACGCGAGGCCGUAUGGCUGGACUGUGGAAGGAAGUACAGCUGCCCCUCCGAGGCGGCUCCCAGGAUGGUACUUGUGUCCCUCCCUGCAUCCUGCUGCUGCUGUCUGCAUGCAGCUGCCAAUCAUGUCCUGGCCACUCUGCCCCCUCCAGAGUGUGGUUCUCAGCCUAGCAGCAUCACAGCUUGAGCUGGUCAGAGAUGCAAAAUGUCCUCUCCCACCCAGGACUGCAAAGUCAGGAUCUGCAUCUGAACAAGAUGAGAUUAAAGCCUGGGUCAAAAUGCCUGGUCCUCUACCAUGGAGUCCCCAAGGGCUGGAUAUGGGCUCCGAAAUGAUUGCAUAGGGGCAGAGUGGCCCCAGCAUUGCGAGCACCUGCCCAGAAUUGUUGAGUGAGCAAGAGCUCAGUUUUUCUCAUGCAGCCACCAAGACCUGGGUUUCCUUGUUACUCAGCCUAGCUUACCAUAACAAGUGCACAUUCAUGUAUUUUCUAUUCAUUGAUUGCAGUGUGAUGAAUUAGACCAAGGGCUUGGGAUAUGCUAGGCAAACACACUUUCACUAAUCUACACCCUCGGCUCUGCACCCCAGCAUCGGUAUUCUAUCAUAUCUAUUGCUGCUCUGACCUGGAGGUGCUGUUCAACUCCUUUUUGGUUAGGCUGCUUUUUACCACAGGACAAAAAUGGGAAGAAAAUACAAUUAUAUCAUCAAAUUAAUGAUCUUCGUUUUUGGAACUUUAUCUAUUAAAAUUAUCUUUUGUUCUAUUUCAUUUAAUCUAUAAGUCAGGGUUGGCAAAGUAUGGUAGAGAGGCCAAAUCCAGCCCUCUGCCUAUUAUUCUUUUCAAUUAAGGUGAAUUUCACAUUACACAAAAUUAACCAUUUUGCAAUAUACAAUUCAGUAACAUUUAACACUCAAAAUGAUGUGCAAUCGUCAUCUUUUCCUAUUUUCAAAAUGUUUAUAUUAUUCUAGAAAUUCUCUUUGUACCUAUUAAAUGAUAUUCUUUUCUCCCUUCUCCCCUCUCCAGCCCCUGGCAACCACUCACCUGCUUUCUGUCUGUGUGGAUUGACCUGUUCUGGAUAUUUCCUGCAAAAGGAAUGCUGAAUUUUAGUACCGGGCUUCUUUUCCUUCCUGUAAUGUUUUUGGAAUCCAUCCACAUUGUUGAGUGUAUCAGUGUAUCAGUACUUCACUUAUUGUACAGCUGAGUAAUUCCAUGGCACUUGUCCCUGGUUUUGUAAGUAAGGUUUUCCUGGACAAAGCUGUCCCCAUUACUUUACAUACUGUCUACCACUGCUUUUGCAUUUAAUGGCAGACCUGGGUAGUUGUCAAAGAGAACAUGCAGCCUGCAAAGACUUAAGUCUGUACUGUCUAGCCCUUUACUGAGAAGAAUUGCAGAUCUUUGCUAUAGUAAUAAUUUUGGGGAACUUUGUCAUGAUGCUGUGCAUGGAAAUUCUAAAGUUUCAAUAGGAUUUAUUUAUUUUUUAUCAUGAUAUAAUUUUAAGGUUCAGCUGAAGGAAGAAAGGUUACACAACUUUUGGAAAGGGAGAGUUGUUAGAGGUACCUGCCCUCCAGGAUUGUGCAGUACAGCCUGGACUGUCCUGGCUCAAGGAGGUGGAACUCAUGCAGGAGUAGACAGACCAUAGACAGGACUGGGAAGAUAGGGAAGGGACCCAUAACAGAUGUGGAAGAAAUCUGGCCAGACUGGAAGGACGCUGGACAAUUGGGAGUGACACCAGCCAUGUGGAAGAUGGGUUGCUGGAUCUGCCUCUACUCUGAAGUGAAUUCCAGAGGAAUAAAAUACUUCAGUGUGUAACAAAGGAGUUGCACAUACCAGGAGAAAAUAUUGACAUCCAUCUUACUAAUCUUGUAGGAGAAAAAUUCUUUUAAGCUUCACAGAAAAAGGCAAUGCAAAGCAAAAAAUUGAUCAAUGUGGCUUUUCAAUAAAGUGGCCUAAAAUGUAAAACUUGUCCAUGGCAAAAGCACUGUAAGUAAAACUUAUAGGAUGGAACCAGAUUAACCUGGGAAAAGUAUUGUUUUGUUAUAGAUAAAGAGUUACUGAGUCCAAUAAUAUAAUUUAUUUGUCUCUUGCAAAUGAAUGAGAAUCUGAAGAGUGCACAAUAAAUAAGGGAGAAACAUGGUACAAACCGGGACAAAGGCAACUCACCAGCAAGUGCACUAUGGUGGGUGUUCAACCUUGUAAAUAAUUGGUCUAAAUUUUAUUGAUGUAAAUUUACACAUGUCUUUUUUUGUUGUUUGUUUGAGUGACAAGGUGAAAAAAAUUGAGAAACCCCAGUGACAAUAAGGUUGUGGGAAAAGUGGCUUUUAAGACUCGGUUGCAGUAACUCUGUUUGUAGGGAAAUCUGAUUUCAGAUCAUAGUUUGAACUGCACAGGCCUUUUUUUGGUAUCGGGGAUUGAACUUGGACCUUGCACUUGGGAAGCAGAUGUGGAGCCACUGAGCUAAAUCCUUGGCCCUACACAGGCCUUUUGAUCCUGCAUCAUUGUGCCUUGGGCCUUCAUUUUUAGAAACUAAGUUUUCUUUCAGCUGUGAAAAGCUAGAAACUAUCUUGUCUCAAUGUUCAUCAGUAGAUUUGAUAAAAGAAUGUGUUGGACAUCCCUAUAAUGGGUCCCAAGGAGCCACUGAAAAUGAGGCAGAAUUUCCAACAGUCCUAUCUAUUGUAAGUGUCCUCCUUGUUCUUUACCAAUCUUGGGAUUUUGCUUGGCUUCCUCUUUAAUUGAGAAACAUUUUCCCCUGGAUUCAUUAAGGUGCAAACUUAGUGAAAAUGAUGGACAUUUGGAGAUUUUACUUAUUUAUUUUUACUAGCUAAUGAUUUUACAGGUAUUACACUUAACACUAUAGUAAUAAAGACUUCACACAAAUCCAUGCUUCAUAGCCAUGGACUUAAGCUCGUGAGUGUAUGUGUUGUGUGUGCAUGCAUAUGUGCAUCAGCAUGCUUGUGUACCCGUGUGUGUCUGUGUGUGCACAUGUGCACAUGUGUCUGGUUGUUUGUGUGUGAUCCUGGAGUGCCAGCAUCCAGCUGAGUAUGCAGCCAGCUGGAGGACUUGCUCUGGUUCUCUUUUAAGACAGUCUCAGGGGAUUAAUAAAGCAAGUAAGGAUAUAAUCUGUCUCCUCCAGGAGAAGACCUUUCUGCCCGUAGGAUCCCUUGUUUUUUGAAUACAGCAGUGUGGAAUGUGGAUGCCAAGGGAAAAUUUGUUAUUUGGAGACAAACCUUACAGUGUGACUCAACCCUUUGGAAAUCCCUGUGCACCUUUCCCUCUGUUCCUGGUAACUUAUUGGCCUCUUCCACCUCUGGCUUCUAUUGCUCCUGCUGACUGUCCCUGCCUGCCUGCUGCUGCACUUUACCUCCAUCCUCCUUCCAUCCUGAGUCUCUGGCACAGAAGGCAGCAUGUGUCCCCUUCUGUCUCACAGACACAGAAGCUAUUAAAGCAUAGGUUACCUAGAGCAGUGGUUCCCAAACUUUUUCUGAUCACCCUUAUUACUAAAAUAUUUUGGCAUGAACACCCAAGGCAUACAUACCUAUAUAUUGUAUGUUCCCACUAUUGUGUGAAUUUAUUGUAUACAUUAUGCAAUAUAUAAAAAGGUGAAAGUUUAAAAGGAUGAGAUUUUAAAAAAGAUAAAAAUUCGAAUCUUUUCUCCAUGUACUUAACAAAGCUCCUUUGGUGGCUGAUAGACCAGAGAUGGGAAGGACAUUGGAAGGCUCCCUUUAGGGGGCUCAAUGGCACUGCAAACUCUGUCCUCCCCAAGGGCCAGGAUUCCUUCCCCAGCAGUUGGCCCAGGUCCUGCUGUCCACUGUGCACCAUAGGUGUGGCUGCAAAUGACCAGAAGUCUUUUCUGCUGCACUUUCUUUCCUGGCCUCUGCUCAUUCACACACUUCCUGCUACUCUCUGAGUUGCCUUUGGGUCCACUGUCUCCUGGUGAGGACUUGCCUGGCUCACCAAAUCCUAAGUCACACACACAGGUCCAACCCCUGUGUCUCCCAGAUGGGCCGAGGCCACAGCCUCAGCCAUUUUAAACUUGGGGUUCUCCCCACAGCUGUACACACAAUGGCUGCUCAUCACUAAGGACCUUGGUCAUGAACACCUGUUCUGAGGUCUCAUGUAGUUUACCAACUCUUAAAUGGCACAGAGAAGCAAAGAUGCUGCAUACCACAUGUGUGGGAGAGAAAAGUCCAUCCCUGAUGGGUGGCCUCAAGAUACCAGUUACAUGGGGACAGAGAGUUUGCAACCAGUCCAAAGUCUGACACCAAGAGCAGUGCCCGGCCCCGGAACAGUUUUUUUGGAGGAGUGAAUGACUUGGAUCAGUACACUCAGGACCUCUGCCAUGCUUGCUUCCGUGUGGGGUAUGAAGAAACAUUAUAAUGCACAUCAGGGAGAUUUUUCCUCCAAACUGGGAGACAAAAUGUA